UCUAAUACUUGGAAUAAAUCAGGCAUGAGCAUAGUAAGUCUGCACAGUGACUCUCCAACAAGGAACUCCUGCCAUUCGAUGCUCGGUUUGGAUGCUGGAUUGGAAAACCACGGAGCUGUAAGAAUGCCACCUGAGGAAAAAGGUCAGCUGUGUCCCUGAACGAGGCUCCACAUUACUCUGAGUUU
rnacentral:lncRNA from 1 species